UUAGAAAUUGAUAAAGCGCUUUCAAAAUUCAAAACGAAAAGGAGUUUGAAAAUAUGGGCACAAUCGUCUGUCAAACUUGCAAUGCAACAAUUGACCAUUUCGAAGAUGAGAAAGUAACGGUAUUAUAUUCAAAAAAAUGUAACUGCUGCGACCAUGAAGGUGCAGAGGAAAGAUAAGAAUAGAUAAAAGGGCAUGCAUGCUGCAUGCCCUUCUUU
rnacentral:sRNA from 1 species